GCGCGAAACAAAGGCGCGGCAUCCAUCAGUACCGUCCUGGACGGACAGGAAUCCGGCGGAAGGGACGGGAAAGGGGAUGUUGCCGAAGGCGGAUCGGUUCCUGGCGGUCCGGCCUGGGGCUGCAUUGAAGAAGUGCAGCACUGCCGCAAGUUCUUCCCCACGGGAUUUGCGGAGCGUUGUUUCGUGC
rnacentral:ncRNA from 1 species